rnacentral:rRNA from 1 species
UACGUAGGGGGCGAGCGUUAUCCGGAUUCAUUGGGCGUAAAGCGCGCGUAGGCGGCCGCCUAAGCGGAACCUCUAACCCCGGGGCUCAACCUCGGGCCGGGCUCCGGACUGGGCGGCUCGAGUGCGGUAGAGGAGAGCGGAAUUCCCGGUGUAGCGGUGGAAUGCGCAGAUAUCGGGAAGAACACCGAUGGCGAAGGCAGCUCUCUGGGCCGUCACUGACGCUGAGGCGCGAAAGCUGGGGGAGCGAACAGG